rnacentral:sRNA from 1 species
UUUUAACUCGUGCAUUAACGAUAGAAGCGGCAUCCUUUUUUAUGACGCUAUAAGAGUAAUUUGUGAAGCAUGAGCAAAUUGCGCGCUAGCAAAUAAAAAAGAUAUAGCGGAUAGCGUGACGUAUU